AGUCGCGCGCGGCCUCUUUGCGGAGGUCGCGAGCGACGCGGCCGCCCGCGCGCCGCGACUGCGCGGAAACCCUCGCAAGGGGGGCGACGCGAAUUGCGGUCGCGGGACACCUUCCGCUCGAAAAGCCGCCCGCUGCCGCCGGUCAGCGACGAGCAUCGGCAACCUACCCGACCCGUCUUGAAACACGGACCGAGGAGUCCCAGUCGACUGCGAAUCGUUGGAGCCUUUCACUUCGCGAACUCCGACGGCACAGCGAAAGCGAGAACGUGACACGACGUCGCCGCUCGAGGCUAACAAAAAGGAGGGGAGAAAGGGAG